rnacentral:sRNA from 1 species
AUUUUGAUUAUGUUUUUCUUUUUUCUUUUCUUACCUUGUGUUUAGAUAUCCUUUUAGAUUUGGAUUCUCCUGCUCCUGUCACGACACCAGCACCAACUCCAGUUUCUGCAAGCAAUGACUUGUGGGGAGACUUCAGCACUGCAUCCAGCUCUGUUCCAAACCAGGCACCACAGCCAUCCAACUGGGUCCAGUUCUGAAUGGCAUUGGCAGGACAUUAAGGACAGACUUGAGGAAUAAAAAUGACCUUGAGGGCACCAAUCUGUGAGGGAAGUUAGGAACCCAUUUCCUCCCCAGAACCAGAAUGACUGGAAAAUCUUUUUCAUAGCUUCUCCAUCACAUUCAAGCUGGUUUAUGUCACUCCCCUGUGUUGUUACUUGUACAGCCAAGAAAGUAUCUGUUAUCUCCUGCUUAGUACCAAGGUAGGGGACUAGUGGAUCUUAUCAUAGUUUUGGCUGACUAUGCAGGGCUUAAAAGGCCAGCGUCUGUUUGAGGGGGAAUGACCUCUAACAUCUGUAAAAUUUGUCUCAUCUUUUAAAUUCUUUAACUUAUUUCAAAAUCAUCUCAUGACCCUUGUGUGCCUCUUUGUGAAGCCCUAUUUAGCAAUUUCAGGGGAGUCAAAAACCUUGCAACUUCCUUCUCCACUAACCCAGGACUAAAAAUGGACAGGCUCACCUCAGUGUUUACAAAUUCAGAAUUUUGAUAGGGGUAGAUAUGGAGAAAGACCUAUUUCCUGGGUCUCUGCUGUGUAGUCUCCUUCAGGCUUAUUGUACUCAGUGAACAUCCAGUGCUGGGUGCAGCUCCAUCACCCUCUUGUGUGUUUACAUGUCUCUUUCUAUGAUAAGAGGGUUGUGUUGGUGGCACCUCCACUACUCUUUUCUGUUUGUUGAGUGAAUUGUGUAACAUCUUUGAUCAGUGGGUGUCUCUGUAAUGAAGGAGGUUCAAGAGGCUGUGCUUUCCAAGUGAUAGUCUAUAGGAGUGUUUAAUUUCUUGCAGCUCCAUCUGGUUGCUGCAUUUGAAGCAUGGCAUUAAUUUGUAUUUGCCCUGUUCUUUGACCUAAAGUUGAAGGGUUUAGAGUUUUUAACCUGAUCUGUAGAGCAGAGAGGUUGAAAGCACUUAACUCUUGUUUAGUAUCCUCAUUGCCUUGCUGCCUGGGUAUCUGGCCCCUUUCCAUAAACAUUUCUUUUCAGUUCAUGUAGUUCUUUAAUAGAAAGCUGCUGUUAUGUAUAUUGUCAUUUGUGAAGGAAGUUGGAGAGUCACAGCUUUACUGUGACAGGUUUUGCCCAAGGCUUUGAUACCUGUCACCCAGGGUAUCUUAAAAGCAAGUUGUUCUCCCACUACUUUCCUUUCCCUCUGCCCUGCCAUUCCUUUUACAAUGCUGUGAAAAAAGUUCUGCUUCUUAGGUGAAUGGGGUACUUUCUAUUUUGUUUCUAAACGAGCAAUUUUGAGGAUGAAAUGGGAAGAUAUCAUUGCUUCCUUUUUGCACCUAUUGGGUAUGUACACUCUGGCCGAAGGGAGUCCUUAUGUUUAGUUUCAAAAUAUAUUACUUUCCUGGAUUCUCUUCUUCACUUUUUCUGACUUUGGGUCCAUUUUCUUUUCAUUGCCUCCUUUUCCAGGCAGCUCUAUUCUUGCAGAGCCAUAGCAGGACAUAUUAAAAUUCCAAUAGAAAACACUAAAAGGAAAGUCUGUGGAAUCACUAGUGACUAAAUACUGGGAACCUAUUUUCUCAAUCUUCCUCCAUGUUGUGUUCUUUGUAUUCUCGAGAUGAUAAUAUAUUAUGUAUUUGAAUUCCUGAAAAAUGGAAAAUGUUUAAGAUAUAUGUAUAUAAAGCAUAUGCU